AGCUCCAAUAGCGUAUAUUAAAGUUGCUGCAGUUAAAAAGCUCGUAGUUGCAUUUCCGAGGCAAGGGAUUAGUCCGACCUUUGGUGGGUAUUUAAUCCUCUUGCCUCGUCCUUGAGUGGUGCUUCUUGGUAUUAAGUUAUCGAGGAGAUAGCCGCUCAUCGUUUACUGUGAGAAAAUUAGAGUGUUCAAAGCAGGCUUAUGCCGUUGAAUAUAUUAGCAUGGAAUAAUAAGAUAGGACCUCGGUACUAUUUUGUUGGUUUGAGAACCAAGGUAAUGAUGAAUAGGGACAGUUGGGGGUAUUCGUAUUCAGUUGUCAGAGGUGAAAUUCUUAGAUUAAAGGAAGACGAACUACUGCGAAAGCAUUUAGCAGGGAUGUUUUCA
rnacentral:rRNA from 1 species